rnacentral:rRNA from 1 species
UACGAAGGGGGCUAGCGUUGCUCGGAAUCAUUGGGCGUAAAGGGUGCGUAGGCGGCGCGGUAAGUCGGGUGUGAAAUCUCGGGGCUUAACUCCGAAACUGCAUUCGAUACUGCCGUGCUUGAGGACUGGAGAGGAGACUGGAAUUUACGGUGUAGCGGUGAAAUGCGUAGAUAUCGUAAGGAAGACCAGUGGCGAAGGCGGGUCUCUGGACAGUUCCUGACGCUGAGGCACGAAGGUCAGGGGAGCAAACGGG